AUUGAACGCUGGCGGCAGGCCUAACACAUGCAAGUCGAGCGGAUGAAGGGAGCUUGCUCCUGGAUUCAGCGGCGGACGGGGAGUAAUGCCUAGGAAUCUGCCUGGUAGUGGGGGAUAACGUCCGGAAACGGGCGCUAAUACCGCAUACGUCCUGAGGGAGAAAGUGGGGGAUCUUCGGACCUCACGCUAUCAGAUGAGCCUAGGUCGGAUUAGCUAGUUGGUGGGGUAAAGGCCUACCAAGGCGACGAUCCGUAACUGGUCUGAGAGGAUGAUCAGUCACACUGGAACUGAGACACGGUCCAGACUCCUACGGGAGGCAGCAGUGGGGAAUAUUGGACAAUGGGCGAAAGCCUGAUCCAGCCAUGCCGCGUGUGUGAAGAAGGUCUUCGGAUUGUAAAGCACUUUAAGUUGGGAGGAAGGGCAGUAAGUUAAUACCUUGCUGUUUUGACGUUACCAACAGAAUAAGCACCGGCUAACUUCGUG
rnacentral:rRNA from 1 species